UACAGUGGUCUCAAGCGUUGUUCGGAAUCACUGGGCGUAAAGGGUGCGUAGGUGGCGUGGAAAGUCAGAUGUGAAAUCCGGAGGCUCAACCUCCGAAUAGCAUCCGAUACUCCCAUGCUAGAGAACUGGAGGGGGAUCUGGAAUUCUCGGUGUAGCAGUGAAAUGCGUAGAUAUCGAGAGGAACACUAGUGGCGAAGGCGAGAUCCUGGACAGUUUCUGACACUGAUGCACGAAGGCCAGGGGAGCGAACGGG
rnacentral:rRNA from 1 species